ensembl:lncRNA
UUGUACUGUACUGUUGUACUUUAUAGUCUUGAUGUGUUCUGUAUGUCUUUCUCUGUUUUAAAUCAGCUGCUAGAAAGGAGUUUCAGAGAGAUGGAGAAGCUACUCAUCCUCUGUCCUCCCCAAAGAGAUUUGCAGUGGUCUCACCCAAGCCUCAGUCCCCUGUGCGUCAGAAGUCGUGUGUGGGGCGUCUGGGCGGCCGAGUGGAUGGCGUGGAUGCUGAGCGGGAGCGGCUGCUGGUGCAGGGUUUGAGAGAACGCUGUGAGGAACAGGCCCGGCAGAUCACCUCCCUCCAGGACAAACUCCGCAAAGCCUCGCUUUGUAUGGAUGUACUUGCCAUCACCACACAGCAGUUCUGCCACAAGGUAAAACACAUUACCACCACUGGGUCUUUAUGCUGCAUGCUGCUGAAGAUGCCUUUGUAAUUGUAGUGUAGUGCAAAUUUACCCCAAGUGUAAAUCAACCAAGACAUGUUGGGUGUCUGAAGCUUGCUGCUUCUUGUUGUCUUCCAUCAGCUCUCCAUCACCUCUUGUAUCCUGUGAAAAUUUGCAACCACAAAGACUACAGCGGAGAGCAUGCAUGCACUAACUACCCCUGUGCAAAAGUGAGCAACUCUGUAGCUGCAGUCUGUAAAACUGCAAAACUGCAACAUACAAAGUAAAGAAUAUAUUGUUUGAAUGGGGUACAAGCUGCAUGUAUAAGCUAAACUAAACCUAGAGUGAGAAAUGUAAAAGUAAUCUUUUGUGCUGGGUGAGUCAAAGUAAAUGUCUAUACAUUAAACAGUUGAAUGUUCAUAAUUAUAUAACGUAAGUUACAUUUCUUCUCAGUUGCUUGAACACGUUUGUCCAUUCAGAAGCCAUAUUCCCAAAACAGUUCACACAUGAUACUAUAGAGCGACUUCCUGGCCAAAACCGCUUUUCUUUGCAAAGUAGUCUGACCUUCAAAAUACAUGAAGCACAUUUUUAAAUAUCUGUUCUACCUGCUCAUACUUUACUGUAAAUAUUCUACAAUGUGCCAAAGUGCAAGAAUAUCACCAUUUGGAAUCCAUUUAUUUCUUC